UUUGCCAGCCAGACCUUCUGUAAAGAAGCAUUUUUAUCCAAAACCUCCAUAGAUGAAGACAGCAUUCAGCACUGGGAAUCCAUACUGAGAUACGGGGAACAGGAUUUAUAUUUCAAAAGACCAAGAAGACUUUCUAUUGCCUUCAGUGUUCCAGCAGGUGACCACGGCACACCUGACACUUCAGGCUACAAGCUGGGUGUUAAACAAACCUGCAAGGCAGAGGAGUGUUUCUUUGUCUUCACACCAAUGACUCAGCUGUGACAACCUCCCUCUGGGGAGGCAUUUGCACCUUCAUGCCCAGUCUGAGGGCUCAUCUUUGCUAAUGGGCUGUAAUGGACUGUCAUAAUAGGCAGCUGCAAGGACCUGGACCAUCAAAGGUUCCAAAAAUAUCCCAUGACUCACAGAGUUAAACCAAACGUUGAAAAAUUCUCUGCCCUGGGGGAGGUACUGGGCAUUCCCACCUGAACCUGAGCAUAUAUCAUCUUCAGGUUUUGGGACUUCUGGUACCACUUGUCAGAUCCAGAGGAGGACCAGAACUUCCAUGAGACUGCGACUGCCCCUCUCAACAAGACUGUGAUCAUUACCUCAACAGAACUGCCACCAUCAUCUGAACCAACAAGUUUCCUUUCCUUUUACUUUGCAUCCAGGGGGGUCACAUGGUUCUCAGCACAGGGGCUA